rnacentral:tRNA from 1 species
GCGGGUGUCGUAUAGUGGUAUUACGUCUGCUUCCCAAGUAGAUAACAGGAGUUCAAUUCUCCUCACCCGCU